AACAGUCAGAACGUUUUUACGUAAGAAAACUAGCUUUUGGGAGAAAAGGGAGAGGAAAAGCAAGAACAAGAGAGAAGAACAAGAAGGGAUCGAUUUUGCUGUAGCUGGUUGUGCAAUUGAAUUAAGGUAAGGGUGAGACUAUCUCUCAUUAAUAGAUAAUAUGUAAUUUCGGAAAAUUGACCUAAUUGUUUAACCUUGAGGAUAAAAUUGAGGGUUAGGGUUUGAUGAUGAUUCUGAGGGGAAUGGGUAAUGAUCAUGUUAAUUAUGUUGUAAUGUGACGUUCGGAAUGAAAUCUUAAUCUAUACUGUUGUUGUGAUCAUAAAUUGAUUGAAAAUAUAAUUGAUUGGAUGAAUUCAUGAAGUUCUGUAUGAUGGUGGAAUGAUCAGUAUUGUUGUUGUUGAUGUCUGUUUGUGUUUCCUUUAGAUGCCUAGUUGUGUAUAGAACCUGUAAACAUCUGAUGGAAAACGUUUUGGGUGAUCAGGGGAUUAAAAUUGGGUUUUAGAGUGUGAAGAGGGUUGAAAACCGUAGGUUUCUGCACUGCCCAGAUGAAUGGUCGCUUAAGCGAACCAGCCGUCGCUUAAGCGAGAAUUCAAGGAAGCUGCCCAGAAUGCGAUUUUGCCCGUUCGCUUAAGCGAACCGUGAGCGAGCUUGUAAGCGAAAAACCAAUUUGAUUCUGCCAAGAGUUCGCUUAAGCGAACCGUAAGCGAGCAGAACCCAGACUUACUGUAAGCCGAUCACUUAAGCGAACUGGACGUCGCUUAAGCGAAGUUGACCUUAGUCAGCCACUUUUUGAACGUUGCCUCGUGCAUUAGGAGACCCCUUUGAGCAUUGAAACAUGGUUCCUUCAACUUGUAUAACCCUUAUAUAUAAGCUGGAUCCUAAUGGAACAUUUUGGUAAUAGAAUUCGUUGAGUUUAGUAAAUUGGGAGAUGAUUGAGUAUGAACGAAGUGAGUAAACACUAUGUUGAAUGAACUUGAUGCAUUGGUCUCACUAUUAUUAAUUGUACAUUUUCUGGAAUGGUUGAAUUGGUUUUGAGGAGUCGUUGUGAUUAUGGAGUUGUAAGUCAUAUAUACAAAUAUGCAUUAGUUGAGUUGUAUGUAGAUAUACACAAGUGGGUUAGUUGCAUAAGCCUAAAAGUGGGAGAGCUUCGGCUCUGGAACUCCUUGUCGUUCAAAGCGGUGGAACACUAGUUUUUCAAAGCGGUGUUGAGCGGUGAGGACUUAUGUCCUGAUGAGAAUGCUUUAACCAUUCGACAGCGGUGUGGGUCACGGCCCUGAAUAUGGUACCACAUGCAUAGUUGCAUUUAUCGAGGAGUCUUAGAGGGGUGUCAUGUCAUUACAUGAGUUGUUGUUGUUGACUGAAUUGCUAUAUCUGGAUGAUUGUUGUUGAUUAUGGAAUACUUAUGCCUAUUGAAUAAUCAUUGAUAUUGUAGGGUGUUAGAUUCAAUUGAUGUUAUUAUAUAUUAUUUUUAUUGACUGAGAAUCUCACCCCUUCUGCUUGAAAAUGUUGCCCUUCCUAUGGGUAACUUGCAGGUGAUCCUGAGUAGUAGGUGGUGGCUCAAAGUGUCUAGGGCUCUGAUACGUGGGAUGGGAUUAUUUUUAUAUGUGCCUUUCAUUCCUAUGUAUCAAACUUGAAUAAUGCUGUUGUAGCCCUAUGAUUGUUGGAUUUUUUUUUCUGGUUGAGGCUUUUAUUCCAAGAAUUUAUUCGGAGAAUUUAAUAUGUUGUGGUUGUUAAUGUCGAGAUAAUAAUUCCGCUGAAAAAUUAAUGUUGAUUCUUGAAGGUUGUGAAUUAAAUAGACUUUUAUAUUCUAUUUAUAAGAUUUUUGAUUUAGAAGUGUGACAUGCCCGUUGGGUUAAUACUCUGAUGCAUGUUUAUUUUAUUAAAUAAUUGAUAAUUGGGAACGGGGUGUUACAAUUUGAUUAGAGAUGGACCCUUUGGUAGUAAUGAGACCUAUAUAAGAAGUUAACUGCAAUCUGUGAAGCUGUUAUGAGAUGUUAGUGUUGGAUUUGAUGUGAUAUAAUGUUUAAUUGCAUGACUUGAAUUAUGAAUGAAUGAUUGAGAUGUUGAUGAAUUGAAUUUGAUAUAAUCAUGUCAUGCUGUUUGUAUACUGCCUAUGUUGCUGUUUUUAUUUAACUAAGCUGCAUGAGUCGGUC
rnacentral:lncRNA from 1 species